CAAGCCAGAAGAGGCGCGUCGCCCAGGUAGUGUGUCGGAGGAACCGAAUCCGAUGAAGGCACAUAAGGGGGUGCGACGCCGAGAUAUCCUACACACGGAGUGUCCGAUAUCGACUGCAGGGGCUGAAUCCCCUGGGUUGUCACCAGGGUCGUUCGGCAGUCGGACGACCUGCAAGGUGGGGCGCUUCUGGGUGU
rnacentral:ncRNA from 1 species